AAGCGGUGGAGCAUGUGGUUAAUUCGAUGAUACGCGAGGAACCUUACCUGGGCUCGAACGUAAGAUGACUGUAGGUGAAAGCUUACAUCUCUUCGGAGCAUUUACGAGGUGCUGCAUGGUUGUCGUCAGCUCGUGCCGUGAGGUGUCGGGUUAAGUCCCAUAACGAGCGCAACCCCUGCAUUCAGUUGCCAUCGGGUAAUGCCGGGCACUCUGGAAGGACUGCCAUCGACAAGAUGGAGGAAGGUGGGGAUGACGUCAAGUCAUCAUGGCCCUUAUGUCCAGGGCGACACACGUGCUACAAUGGCCGGCACAACGGGAAGCGAGUUCGCGAGGACGAGCGGAUCCCUCAAAGCCGGUCGCAGUUCGGAUUGAAGUCUGCAACUCGACUUCAUGAAGCUGGAAUCGCUAGUAAUCGUGGAUCAGCCAAGCCGCGGUGAAUACGUUCCCGGGCCUU
rnacentral:rRNA from 1 species